rfam:Gossypium raimondii Chr05_contig_1039, whole genome shotgun sequence.
AAUAGGAGCAUGAUAAAUAAGAUUUUUGUUCCUGUUUUUUAGCUUUUUCCUCUUGAAAAAUUUAAAUCCAACUAAAAAUGCUAAAAGUCAGAAGAAAAAAUCUGAUUUGUCGUACUCCUAUU